CGACAAAUUUACUGGACCUGCUUAGUACCACAUCCAUUAGGCCCGUUUCCAGUUUCCACCGUCAACAGAGGAUGGCUAUCGCCGCCGUUCGCCGGCUCUUGUGGCGCGAGGUGGGGACUGCGGCCGCCGCCGCGGCCUUGGGGACGGACGGGAAUCUGUUCGCUCGCCUGGUCUCGGAGCCGGAGUGCCGUGUCAAGGCGACCAUGGAGGAGGCUGCCUCCUCCGGGACCCACCGCGACGGCGCCUUCUGGGAGCCCCCCGUCACCGCGCUCCUCCGCGCGUCGUCUCCUACCAAGGCGCACCUCAUAUUGGAAUGGAAACUAGAGAAGCUGCUGAAGGAAGACAUUCAAGAUUGCGAGCCCUACUCCAGGAUAAUUCGUUUCUGUGGUCAGACAAGGAAUGCAACGUUUGCAAUGAGAGUUUUCGAAUGCGUGGAGGCGAAGGGAAUCCAGCUGAACACUAACAUUUGCAAUGCCCUUGUCGAUGCUUUCUUGUCAGCCGGAGACCUCCUUUCUGCAAUGACCUUAUACGAGACUAUGGAAAGCAUGGACGCUUGCAGUCCCAAUUCCGCUACAUAUGAUGCAUUCAUCUGUGCAUUUUCGCUGCUUGGAAGUGGCCAUGCUAUGAUGAGCUGGUAUGUAGCUGCAAAGAACGCCGGGUUUACGCCAAGUAUUCAAGCUUUUGAAUCUUUGAUCACUGGGUUUGUUCGGUUGAACAUGCUAGACGAUGCCAAAACGGUGUUUGAGGAAAUGAUUGCCUUGGAGAUUAAGCCAAACUCUACUAUUUUGGAGGCCAGCCUUGAGAUUCUCUCUAGAAAGGAGGAGACCAGCAGAGUAGGAGACUUUUUAAAACGUGCAAGGGAUGGCAAUUGGGAGUUGAACAAAGCCACAGUUGUGAGGUUGACAAGAAUAUGCCUAGAUGGAGGGGUAAUAGAUGAAAUGGAGCAGCUGCUUGCCCUAAUACAAAAGGGAACACACUUGAAUUCUGAAACACAACUGCACCAUGGAAUUAUCAGGUUCUAUGCUAAUGCAGAUCGAUUAGCGGAUAUGGAGGAUGCAAUUUAUCGGAUGUUGGACAAUGGUGUGAUGUUUACGUGCCCGGAGGAUGUUGAUGUCAUAAUCUGUUGUUAUUUUCGUCACAGGGAAUUUGAUAGGUUGGAUCUCUUUUUGAAUCGCAUCCGAAGUUUGUUCAAGCUCAAUAGGUCUACAUAUGACAUACUGGUUGCUGGAUACCGAAAGUUUGAUUUACAUGAAAGACUUGAUUCAACCAUAGCUGAUAUGAUGAGGGAAGCUGGAUUUGCAUGAGAUCACAAAGAACUAUCUGUGCACCAUGACUUUCCACGGUAAGGCCAUCUCCAGCGGAACGUGGAUAUGGGCGUGCAAAACACUGUUUGCACUGUAGAGUGCACUGUUUACAGAGCGAAGUUUGAAAUAGGAAGUGAGAUAAGAAGUGUUAUAGAGAGGCUGCUGGAGAUAGCCUAAUAUUUCCAUAGCCUUAAGUGCAUUGAGCCUGAAAAAUGAAAUCCAGGGUGGGAUAUUUUUUAUAACAGUUCAGUUCAAAAUUGUUUGAUCAGUUCUGUGUUUGACUUGGAAAAUAUCUCAGAUUAAGAUACAUUAUCAUGUCAUGGAUGCAUUUGACUUUGAGAAGCCGUAAGCGUGAAAUUACAUGGAUGCUGUGCUCAGGCUGCAGAAGCUGGCAACUGUAUUGACUGGGACAUGUAGAAUAUCAGGGGUGAUCAAUGACUUCAGUUCAUCUAGUUACAUAAGAAAUGUAGAACACAUACAUUAACUAUUGUAUGAAUCUACUACAAAGGUAAACGGAUUUUAAUUUGGAACGGAUGGAGUAUACAAAGGAACUGUUGCUAGAAGAGUUGCAACACAGAAAGAUUGAAAAAAGGACUAACAGACACUAGGCUGCAAACUGUGGGCCAUGAAAAAAAUGGAGAGAUUUGAUGAAUCCAUGUGACAUGCAGCACCAACCAAGUGGUCCACUUUGCACCUGAUGUUCAGAAACAGUAACAGUAACCGGUCACCAGAUCUGGUCUACAGAUCAUGCUCCACCAAAUCUUAUCCGCCAUGAUAAAAAUCCAAGUUGCGUCGAGUGGGCACACAAACACCGCACAGUUUGUUUAUCUAGAAAUUUACAUCUGAUUUUAGGGCAACCAAAGGUAAUCCACAGUAGCUGGUUCUCACAUGCUUGAGAAGAGAAGCAGGAGGAAGAGAACAUAGCUCAUGAAACAUCGCCUGUCUGACUGUCUCUGAUGCGAAGCAGGGAAGGGGAAGGCAACAUGAUGAACAGCUAGCCCAUCUUAAUUUACCAAAAAAAGAAAGAAAGAUGGCAAGACAUUACUAUGGAGUAGUAGUACAUAGAUUAGACGCUCCUACUGUACAACCACGAGUCUUCCAGUGAUCUUGCCUCCGCCGCCGCACCUCCAGGUAACCUCGCCUUGCCCUGCGUCGGCGCCUUCCUCGGCACCGGGGCCCUUGGGCACCGUGACGACGAGCUGGCCGUCGACGUACCCGGCCACCGCCAUGGCCGGACAGGUCGGCUCGGGCAGCCGGGACCGCCACCUGUCGAGCUCCAUGCUGUCGCUGGCGGCGUCGUCGUCAGCGGCCCGUUCGGCGGCUCCGGCCUGCACCACGACCUUGGUGACCCCGGGGUGGAUCCUGACGGUGCGCACCCGCACGGUGGCGGCGGCACGCGCACCGGCGGCCGGCGCCGCGACGAAGUGGAAGGCGUCUGGGCCUUCGAACACCUGGACGUCGGUGUCCGCCGGGAGCGGCAGCUCCAGCACCUUGCUGUACACGUGCGGCAGGCGCCGGAGGUCCUUCUUGCCGCCGGCGGUGGGGGAUGCUGGGUGGAUCCUCAUGUGGUCGCGGGACAGAUCACGACGGUGCAAGUCCAAAAGCGAAGGCUCCUCUCUUCUCGAUCUUUCUCUUGGUUCCUUUCCUUUCGUUGUGUCUCUUGUCUUGUCCUUUGGCUGCUGGUUCUUGGACAGGUUGUUGCUAGGUGAAGACUGAAAGAGCCGGGAGAGGGUGGGGAUUUAUUUAUUAUGGUGUGCCACUGCGGCGCGCGCAAGAGGGAGGCUAACUCGCUAAAGGCGCUGAGAGGUGUCACAAGGUUCUUGACGUGUGGGGAAGGAAGAUAAGCUCAGGACUGAGGAGAGUGAAGAGGAGUAGUCAUCGGAAAAAAAGAAAGGAUGGAGAUGGAGACGGGGACAGAUAGGAAGAAGAGGGCCAGACCGACCGGAGAGGUUUGUGUGUGCGUGUCUUCUCCUGUGCCGGUGGCCGGUGGGGGUGCCUAUGUGCGGCCUGUGUGCUGUUUGUUCCUAGUGGCUGGCGCGCACGGCACGGCACGGCCGGAUCACGGCCACGCCGUCCGUGGGCUCCGGCGGUCUCUCAUCAUCAAGAUAAGGGAGCGGGACUGACGGCAAGGGAAACAUGGGGCUGCCUCCAACGGUUUCAGAAUUCAGAGGCCAAUUAUUCCGCCUCGGCGUCUGCGGGCCAGGGAGUAUGGGCGUCGCUUUGCCAUAUUCACCGCGGCUGCUACCCGCUCAUGAUACGCUACGCUGGGAGGGACCCCGUCUGGCUGCUUGUGGUGCAGGUAACUGCAAUUCUGCUUCUGCAUGCAUGAGAGGUAAUUCUACCGGUCGGCGGUCGCAGCUGACGUGUGAGUAGUUGCAUGCUGCUGGACUCUGGAGCUGGAUGGACUAGGCGAAGUUGUCUGUUAUUAAGGGUUUUUAGGACUGAUGGAAAGGACACCGGUGCAGCCAGGAGCUUAUCCCAUCUGUAGCGCGAGCGGCGCCGUACAGGUUUUGUUUUGACGCUGCGUCAGCUCACGCUCAUCUCAUACUAUCUGGAUAUGCAUGGGUGAUUGCACGAGCGAUAAGCUUGAAAAGUCUAUUUCCCUCCUGGGUUUUAGAAUAAACUCGAGGAUUACAAUGCCUGGUGGGUUGCCGUUAAGUUGCUCCUCCUUGCUGUGGAUGAGGUUUCCCGUUUGUUUCUUC